AGUAAAAUAUUGAAAAACUGUGGUGUUUUCCUUUAAAAACAAAGAUUUGAAUUCAAAUUUUCACUUGUGGAUAGGGGUGUGACGGUCAUUAUAUAACCGUGAGACCGACGGUUAUAGUUGAACACCGUCAUUAGAACUCUAUAACCGCCAAAACUGUGUUAUUAAAAUAUUUUUUAAAACAUUUUUUAUCAUAAAGAAUUUUUAAAUACUAUUUAAAACAAUUGUUAACAGUCUGUGUUACACGCCCCCUCACGUUCUCACGCAGUGAAAAAUACAGAGCUGAGCAGACACUGACAACGCGCUGACAUACAGGACAGACCAGGUUACUUUUCGGUUACUUUUGAGAUUUAACAUAUUAAACAAAGUCUCACCUUUCCAAUCAUCUCUUCCUUCUAGUUAAUUUAUAGCAUCAAAUAAACAUGAAUGACCAUGAGAAGGAAUGUUGUUUUAACCGCGGAAAGGCGUCAGUACACUCCGCUUUUCAAGUUCAAAUCCUCCCAUGCUAAUCUACUAACUCUCUUGAACGCACAUUCACUGCUAGUUGUCUUGCUGUUAAUUUUAAAGAAACGUAGAGCAAGUAGCUAAUCAGUGUCUAGUUUAUUCAAACGCCGGGUGACUGUGCAGCGCGUCUGCGGAGAGUGUUUGCUGCGCGUGGCCAUUGUGCUUUUACACCGGCUGCGUUUAAUAACAAUCUCAAGUUCACAUUACUUUCUUUUACCUGCGCAUUUAUGAGCAAAACCUCUUCAAUACGCUUUUAAUCCACAUUGUUUUCGUGCUGUUCUGGUCCAUGUAAUGACAGAUAUAGACACAAUUACAGACAUAAAAAGCCCAAUGCACAAAUCUGUUUCUCUGAAGAUUAUUAAAAUAGAUGAUAGAGGAUUAAUUUAUGCUGGGCAGAGAGUGACAGCGCAGUCUUCUGGCAACAGUGUUUUUUUUUAUAUUUCAUUGCUUUCUGUUAAAUUGUUCAAAGUUAUUACUGUUUAAAACACACUUGGCAUCACAUUCAUGAUUUUAUGGUAAAAUGACACUUUCCCGUCAAUCCACGAGCAUUUAAACGAGCAAAACGCCCCCCACAGACGGUUAUGUGAUGAACCGUCACAUUUGACUCACGUCAUAACCGUCAUCACCAAUUCUGAAACCGGCACACCCCUACACAGCAAAAUCACCAGUGUUAAAUUUUCAGGGAUGGUGUUAAAUACACAGUGUUGAUGCUGUUUUAACACUAUCUGGUAAUAAAAUAACACUGCCAUUGCUAGGCCAGUGUUAUAUUCAAGAGAGUGUCAGUGUAAAACAAGGGUGUUAUCAGAUUUCACUCUGAGCGGUGUAAAUCAAGCCACGCCUCCACUAAUCCUGUCAGGGAUUUUACCGCCAUUUUCUUUCACAGGAGGACUGAAGAGAUCAGGUAAAUCAGUCUCAUAAUAUUCACAUGGUUUAGCUAAAUUAAACUGUUAUUUCUCUGUCUGACUCUACGCAGCCAUAUGCCAAAAAACCUGAAUAAGAUAUUUUUCCCAUUUUAUUUCCCCUUUGUUCGUUAUUUGGUUCAGUUUAAUCAGAGCUACCUUGUGUUACGUUGUUCCCUUGUUAGUUUAGUAUAAAGUUAAACUGCUAGCUAAAAGUUUAAAACCAAGAAGGAUCAUUUUAACAGGAGAUAUGAACGAAAGAAUUGAACCAUGAUAAAACGCGACAUGCACUACAAAUUGAAGGUAUGAAAUUAAGUUAAAUGAAAGCUCGUUUAUUCACCAUAUGAUGUUCGUUAUAAGGUAAUCAUAUAGGCUAGAUACCGUGAGUUAACGAGGUCGUUUACAUGCACGUGAGUGCACGGAUAUCGGUUAAUUAUCCAAAUUACUGAAAAACACGGAGAAAACCGCAACCGCAUCCUCAUGUGUUUUUCUAAGAUGUAUGCAAACAGGGGAAAUAUCGCCAAACCAACAAUUAAUUUGACCAAAACCUCACAAUAUAUCAUCAUUUGUAUGCACAGAUUGGAUGCAUUGUGUGUUGUAAGCUUUUCGUGGCGCUAGAUGUCAGACAGAUGCAAAUGGCAAAUACAUACGAAAGUGUAAAACGUGUAUGGCGAACGUUUGUUUUUCUGUCAUUAUAGAUGCUAGUUUGGUGAAAGUUCACACUGAGUGCUUCAAAUCAUUCAGAAGAGAUGCUGUUUUUAGGGCAGUUUAUUAAAGAAGACCUGACAUGGAUAUGACUUCCAAUGAGAAACGACUGCUAAUACUUAUAUAAAUUCAUUACAGAAGGACCCUACCAGACUAUAUUUGAAUACGGCAUACCCAUGAAUUCUGGAACUGUUAUUCCUUAACCCAGUUUGGAGGAUAAGAGCUUACCAACUAGUUAUAAAUAUGCUGAGGUGAUGUAUUGCAAAAUAGCCAACAUACAACAAUAUGGAUGACCCUCUGUCUGGUCAACAGGAGUUUAAAUAUGGACGGGACAGUGAUGUGGCAGCUCUUCCCUGGCUCAUUCACCUCUUGCCUUUCAUUUGUGAAAGGAAGAAAGAAGAAAGACUGGAGAGGGUCAAUGUGCAACUGAAGCUACUGAUUGUGCUGUGUGAUGAGCAUCAAUCCAUGCUUUGAAGUGGAUGAAUCAGCACAGCCCUGCCCGCACUGCGUUGGGAACAGAAGUUGCAUCCAGAAUUUUUGCAUCAUUCUGGACCAAAAAGCCAUUCCCUCCAUGAUGAAGACCACUGAUGCAGCCUUCCGCUACAUCAUGAGUAAAACAACUACAGAACUAAAUACCAGGUUGGAACGUAUUUAAGAAAAAUGAAACAUCUUUUGAAUUGAAAUGUCUGUUUUGUUAUGGAAAAAUCUGUAGUAUUGUGAAGGAUAAGCAUUUCUGCCUGCCAGUAAGGUAAUUGCAGUGUAUUUUAAUGUUCAAGUUUUGAGUAGAGUGGCAAAUUUUUUUUAAACUCUCAUUUGAUUUAUUAAAGACCUUAUAAUAAGUGGUUUUCAUGUCACUGCGCUGUGGUAUAAGAUAACUUUCAUUAUUCCAUACUGUAUUCUGUUUCUAAUUGUAGCUGAGGUAUUUAAAUAAGCAGUGUUAAAUGCAAAGUGUUGUGUGUAUCAAUUUAAAUAUUAAAUGUGAUGUA